CUGCUCAGAUUGAACGCUGGCGGAAUGCUUUACACAUGCAAGUCGAGCGGCAGCGCGGGGCAACCUGGCGGCGAGCGGCGAACGGGUGAGUAACAUAUCGGAACGUAUCCUUGAGUGGGGGACAACUAGUCGAAAGACUAGCUAAUACCGCAUACGCUCGAGAGAGGAAAGUGGGGGACCGCAAGGCCUCACGCUGAAGGAGCGGCCGAUAUCAGAUUAGCUAGAUGGUGAGGUAAAGGCUUACCAUGGCGACGAUCUGUAGCUGGUCUGAGAGGAUGAUCAGCCACACUGGGACUGAGACACGGCCCAGACUCCUACGGGAGGCAGCAGUGGGGAAUUUUGGACAAUGGGGGCAACCCUGAUCCAGCCAUUCCGCGUGAGUGAAGAAGGCCUUCGGGUUGUAAAGCUCUUUUGUUCGGGACGAAACGGUUAAGGCUAAUAACCUUGACUAAUGACGGUACCGGAAGAAUAAGCACCGGCUACUACGCAGCGUUUCGC
rnacentral:rRNA from 1 species